rnacentral:misc_RNA from 1 species
CUUAUUUUAUGGCAUAUUCUUGAAGUUAAGAUCUCCAGAUUAAUUUAAUUUGUCGAACUAUUGUCGAACUAUAAUUAAUUGUCGAACUCCUUAAUCUUCCAAAUUUUCUUUCCCUGAAGCUUAAUCUUUAUCCAAGACCAAAUAUUUUCAAUGGGAUUUGCAUCUGGUGUCCGUGACAGCUCAUUUUCAACUCAUUGAUUUUCUUUCUUAGUUUUCAUGCAGUACAAAGAAAACUUCGAAGGUUAUUAAAAAAAGAAACCGAUUACUGGUAAAAAAUAGAGACCUUAACCAAAAUUCCAUUGCAUUAUGCAAAUUCGUUAUAUCAGUGUUUAGAAAUUACCAUCAUCGAACGAUCCGACUUUUAGGGUUAUUAUCCUUUUGUACUAUUAUAAUUCUUUUUUUGUAUACUACUAGACAGAUGGCAAUAAAGCCAUUUAUAUGGAUCAUCGUGGUCCAUAUUUUUCUGUGCCCAAACAACUCUUUUCUUAAUGUGUUUCUCGGAUAAUUAGUUUCUUCACUGUGCUUCGAUAUUUCACAUUAUGAGCACGUAGACGUCUUAUUGCGUCACGUGAUAUAUUUAAACCUUUUUCUCUUCAAUGCUGCUUCUCCAUCUUGCAACGAUAGAUGAAUGUUGUUUGCGAACAUCUGUAGAAUAAUUUGUCUUCUUUAUCCAUUGUUUUCUGUAUAGAACCACACUUCGGUAUCGACGUUUUUCACUCCUAGGUAGUAAUUUAUCCAUUCAUUUACAAAUGCCUUAGAUUUUUUCAUAUAUUUAACAGUCGCUUGGCACGACAUUUUUAGUUAUUUCGGAUAAGUAUAGAGAAACACGGCUUCGAGUUGCGCUGCGUAGGCGGCACUCAUGAUGAUAUGUGUCUCUUUGUCACGAAGGUCGAACAACAAUUGAAACUUUCUCUUAGGAAAAGCAUCUUGGGAAAAAUGUUCCUACUACUAAUCUCUGUUAGAAUUUCCUGUCUAACGAUUUCUAUGCAAAAGUUUUGCCGAGCACGCUUUUAUCAAACAGACUGUACAUGAAUAGAUAAUUGUUCUUAUCUAUAUUGAUGUCAUAAUACGAAUUUUAUCUCUAGCAGUGAGUAUAACUUUAGAUUAUAUGACUUUAAAUAACGCUCAUAAAGUGUAUAAGCUUUCGUAAUGUAUGCAACAUCUUAAGUUGAUUAACGCUACAAAUGUAUAUUAAUGGGAGCAGAAGAUUAUUCUACGCGAGUAUUCGGUGGAAUUUAGUGGAAGAAGAAACUAUCGAUCAAGAGCUUAAGCAUAAACUCGAUCGAUUUCAGUGAAAAUAUGGCGAAUGCAUCCAUCAUUAGUGAUCCAUCCAGAGACUUUAGUCAUAUAAAAGACAUCAGUAAUGAUAAAUAUUUAAAGAAAACAGAAGACAUAUUAGAAAAUAUUAAAUUUCCGAAUGAUUUCGAUGUUUGGAGCGCGCAAAAGCAACGUGACUGGGUGUAUAAUAAUUUGACGGAACUGUAUCAAAAUAUGCCGGACAGUUUGCAGAAUAUGAUCCCAGCUAUUUUCCGCCCAGUCGACUUCGAUCGAUCACAGGAGAAGUUGCCAGAAUGGAUGGACAUGGAUAAAUAUCGGAGAGGGCAAAAGUUUGUGCGUGACAAUUACUUUUCCAUUAUUAUCAACAUUGUAAUGGGUGCUAUUUACGGCUUCACCUUCGAUGAUGGUUUAAAAACACUCAUUCUAACGAGAAACAGUAACACGCCAUAUUUAUCGUUUAUAAGGUAUCUUAGUACUAUUUUGCAAAUGGUUACAUGGUACGAUGGAGAACCUUGGGUCAAAGGAACGAAAGCUUAUACAGAUAUGCAAGUUACACGUGCAAAACACGCGGAUAUAAACACAAAGAAGUCCCGAAUAACUAAGGAGCAAGUAAACGCCGCAUCAAAGAUCACGAAUCCAUUGUGUUCCGAGCAGAAAUUGUUUCUGAAGGAUAUCACUGCGACAUGUCCGUUCGAGAAUCCAGAAUAAAUUUGCCCUUAUAAAUUUUUGGAUACGUCCGCAUUCACAACAAAAGCUAUAAAUAAUUGGGCGGUGUCAAGUACACAAGGUUGCCUGCUGGUUGUGCCUAUAAUAUAUUCACAGAGUAUUGGAAUACAUAAUGCAACUGACGAAGAUCUAGAGGGUUACUGCCAUAUAUGGAAGUGUUACGGAUAUUUUCUUGGACUGCAAGAUGAGUACAACUUUUGUUAUGGCAACUGGAAGGAGAUAAAACAGCGCAUACGGGAUUUUAGAAAUUGGAUAACGGCUAAUUUUACGGACAUCACAUCCGAAUGGAUGCAUAUGAGCAGGUGUCUUGCCGAAUCUAUGAAUUAUUAUCCUUGGCUCUAUAUGCCUUAUAAGACAAUAAUAAUACUGUAUACAGAAGCAUUAAAUCUUAAAAUGCUCAAUUUGUAUGCAUCACUUAAUUAUAGCGAAUGGAUAAUGUAUAAAAUAUACACAUUUUUGUUCCAUCAUUAAAAUUCUCCAUUGUGAGAAAAAUGGCCAAUCAAUUAAUGCAUAAAGUACUUGAAAGAGCGUCAAAUUUGAAGCCGGAGAAAUUAUUGCAGCUGCAAGAAAAAUCAAAACAACUUAUAAUCAGUGAUGUGCCGUAAACUUUUCCUACGCGGCAGUUUCCAUCAUAAACUGAUGUUACAGCUGGACAUCUAUUAUUUCUACAUAGAUAUUUGGAUACAAUUUUAGGUAUACAGAGUGUCCUAUUUUUAAUCAGUCAGGCAAAAAUCUCGAAAAAUAUGAAAGAUACUAACAAGGGAACAUAGGGAACUCGAAAAUCUUAAAACUUCUGGAACUUUGUGUGGAAGUAAAGUAGUUCAUCCGUAAUGCAAAACUAUUUUUUAUUCGUGUGGAAUUCCAGUCUGAGGGGAUGAAACUACACUACGAAAAAAACCAUGCAUAGAUUAGUUAUAGCGUUUGCUUAGUAUAUAUUCAUAUUUUUAUUCCGACGGCACGGCAGCGCGUCAUUGCAUUCACUGGAUUUUUCUAUUAAACCGUGAUACACAUUUUAUAUAUUAAUUAUUAUUUUGAUUUGUAUGCAUCUUAAUACAAUCUUUGUAUUUUAGAUAUUGUUAUUUUGUUAUCCUUAUAUCAAUUCAAUACAUCAAAUCCUGAUUAAUUCUAAUCUACACAAAAUAAUGUAUGCGAAGUUUACGUAGCAAAAUUGAAUAUCAAUAUUCCCUGAAC